UAAAGGACGUUGCAAUAAAGAAGAGACAAUAGUCCACCAAAGCUUCUUUUCUCCAACAACAACAAUCCAAUUACAAUCAAUUUCUUUUUUCCCUUAAAAAUGUCAUCAAAUUCCUGAUCUAUAGGCGAAGUUGUAAAUCAGCUGCAGUUUGAAGGUCCAAAGAGGGCAGAAAACCCCAGCUGGACUUUACCGAUGCAGAUUUCUGUCUGCUCGCUGCCUCGUCGUGUGGCUAUAAUUCACGCUCCGGCCGGGUGGUCCGAGCCACGAGGAACAGGAACACGACAUCUCCUCUUCCACUCGUAAAAGAGUGACAGAAGCAAAACAACCGCCGGUAACGAACGGCAUCCUACUUCCCGCGGCGUGAAUGAGCGAAAGUGCGAGAGGGCGUAGGUGUUGUUGUGUUCCACGCUGUGGUGUUUUGCUUAGGAAGAGAAAGCUCCCCCGUGUGCGAUGCUGAAGGCAGUUCCCACUCUGGAGCUUUUGUCUUGAAAAUGACAGCUUCUCGUUGCGAGAGCGAAGAAAAGAUUGAAAAUGCCUGAAUUACCGCUGGUUGCGACAGGAAACACUGAAGCACAACAUCCUGUUUAAUGCGGCAGACUACGAAAUGAGCAGCCCAAAUAGUCGACAUGUUACACUUCAAAUGAAUCCCCUGACUGAAGUGUGUUGUCUUUUUCUUCCUGAGGCGGCGUGGAAUGUCUCUGUGUGUGGCAGAGGGGUAUCGAGCAGCGUGAAGAAUGCUAACAGACCGCUGGGCUUUAUUUCGGUCUGGCUCCGGCUCUUAUCUGCCCCCCCCCACCCUCCUCUGCGCUCGCGGCCUCGUCCUUCGUGUCGACCAAUCGGGGGCCCCGGUUUGGACACCGGGAGCGAAUCCGAAACGGAGGCAGAGCAACGGCACGAGAAAAAAAAAAGGGCAGUAAUCUUCUUGUUUUCCUGUGAAUGGGAAAUCAAACGC
ensembl:lncRNA